UACGUAGGGUGCAAGCGUUAUCCGGAAUUAUUGGGCGUAAAGAGCUCGUAGGCGGUUUGUCGCGUCUGCUGUGAAAACUGGAGGCUCAACCUCCAGCCUGCAGUGGGUACGGGCAAACUAGAGUAUUGCAGGGGAGACUGGAAUUCCUGGUGUAGCGGUGAAAUGCGCAGAUAUCAGGAGGAACACCGGUGGCGAAGGCGGGUCUCUGGGCCGAUACUGACGCUGGAGGAGCGAAAAGCCGUGGGGAGCGAACAGG
rnacentral:rRNA from 1 species